CAUGCAGUCGAGGGGUAACAUUGUAGCUUGCUACAGAUGACGACCGGCGCACGGGUGCGUAACGCGUAUACAAUCUACCUUUAGCUGAGGGAUAGCCUUUGGAAACGAAGAUUAAUACUUCAUAGUAUUUAUUAUUGGCAUCAAAAAUAAAUUAAAGAUUACGGCUAAAGAUGAGUAUGCGUUCUAUUAGCUAGAUGGUGUGGUAACGGCAUACCAUGGCAACGAUAGAUAGGGGCCCUGAGAGGGGGAUCCCCCACACUGGUACUGAGACACGGACCAGACUCCUACGGGAGGCAGCAGUGAGGAAUAUUGGACAAUGGAGGCAACUCUGAUCCAGCCAUGCCGCGUGCAGGAUGACUGCCCUAUGGGUUGUAAACUGCUUUUAUACAGGAAGAAACCAUCCCUCGUGAGGGAUCUUGACGGUACUGUAAGAAUAAGGAUCGGCUAACUCCGUGCCAGCAGCCGCGGUAAUACGGAGGAUCCAAGCGUUAUCCGGAAUCAUUGGGUUUAAAGGGUCCGUAGGUGGAUAAUUAAGUCAGAGGUGAAAGUCUGCAGCUCAACUGUAGAAUUGCCUUUGAUACUGGUUAUCUUGAAUUAUUAUGAAGUGGUUAGAAUAUGUAGUGUAGCGGUGAAAUGCAUAGAUAUUACAUAGAAUACCAAUUGCGAAGGCAGAUCACUAAUAAUAUAUUGACACUGAUGGACGAAAGCGUGGGUAGCGAACAGGAUUAGAUACCCUGGUAGUCCACGCCGUAAACGAUGGAUACUAGCUGUUCGACUUCGGUUGAGUGGCUAAGCGAAAGUGAUAAGUAUCCCACCUGGGGAGUACGUUCGCAAGAAUGAAACUCAAAGGAAUUGACGGGGGCCCGCA
rnacentral:rRNA from 1 species